rnacentral:rRNA from 1 species
AACGAACGCUGGCGGCAUGCCUAACACAUGCAAGUCGAACGAGACCUUCGGGUCUAGUGGCGCACGGGUGCGUAACGCGUGGGAACCUGCCCUUAGGUUCGGAAUAACUCCCCGAAAGGGGUGCUAAUACCGGAUAAUGUCUUCGGACCAAAGAUUUAUCGCCUUUGGAUGGGCCCGCGUUGGAUUAGCUAGUUGGUAGGGUAAAAGCCUACCAAGGCGACGAUCCAUAGCUGGUCUGAGAGGAUGAUCAGCCACACUGGGACUGAGACACGGCCCAGACUCCUACGGGAGGCAGCAGUGGGGAAUAUUGGAAAAUGGGCGAAAGCCUGAUCCAGCAAUGCCGGGGGAGUGAUGAAGGCCUUAGGGUUGUAAAGCUUUUUUACCCGGGAUGAUAAUGACAGUACCGGGAAAAUAAGCCCCGGCAAACUCCGG